GGAGGUUCUUUUUCUGGAUCAGCAGUUGAUACAAAGACAUCAACACCCGGAAGGUCGGACUUCCCAGUUGGAUUGGUAGGGGUAGGUGUUUCAAACUUUUCUUUCAAAACUGCAAGAUCUGUUGCACGAUUGAUAGGGCAGAGUUUCGGAAGCUGAUCCAGAAGCCAGGAGAAGGCGAACCACAGCUCGCACACAACGGACAUUCCCCAGAGCCAUAUUGCAUCCUGAUUUUUGUUUUC
rnacentral:misc_RNA from 1 species